rnacentral:rRNA from 1 species
UACAGAGGUCUCAAGCGUUGUUCGGAUUCAUUGGGCGUAAAGGGUGUGUAGGUGGCGCGCUAAGUCGGGUGUGAAAUUUCGGAGCUUAACUCCGAAACUGCAUUCGAUACUGGCGUGCUUGAGGACUGGAGAGGAGAUUGGAAUUCACAGUGGAGCAGUGAAAUGCGUAGAUAUUGUGAGGAACACUAGUGGCGAAGGCGAAUCUCUGGACAGUUCCUGACGCUGAGGCACGAAGGCCAGGGGAGCAAACGGG